rnacentral:rRNA from 1 species
AUUGAACGCUGGCGGCAUGCCUUACACAUGCAAGUCGAACGGUAACAGGUCUUCGGAUGCUGACGAGUGGCGAACGGGUGAGUAAUACAUCGGAACGUGCCUAGUAGUGGGGGAUAACUACUCGAAAGAGUGGCUAAUACCGCAUGAGAUCUACGGAUGAAAGCAGGGGAUCGUAAGACCUUGUGCUACUAGAGCGGCCGAUGGAAGAUUAGGUAGUUGGUGGGAUAAAAGCUUACCAAGCCGACGAUCUGUAGCUGGUCUGAGAGGACGAUCAGCCACACUGGGACUGAGACACGGCCCAGACUCCUACGGGAGGCAGCAGUGGGGAAUUUUGGACAAUGGGCGCAAGCCUGAUCCAGCAAUGCCGCGUGCAGGAUGAAGGCCUUCGGGUUGUAAACUGCUUUUGUACGGAACGAAAAGCCCUGGGUUAAUACCCUGGGGUCAUGACGGUACCGUAAGAAUAAGCACCGGCUAACUACGUGCCAGCCGCCGCAGUAAAAC